GGGGCCAAUACAAACCAUUGUGUGGAAAUCCAUUCACAAACCGGACUUUACAUAGGACACGAGGUCAUGCGUUUAGACUGGAAGAAAGAAGAUUUCGUCUAAGGCAAAGGAAAGGUUUUUUUACUGUAAGAACAAUCAGGAUGUGGAAUUCUCUGCCUGAAGAAGUGGUUUUAUCAGAGUCCAUACAGAUGUUCAAACAGCUACUAGAUGCAU